CAUAUAUAUAUAUAUAUAUAUAUAUAUAUAUAUAUAUAUAGUCGACUGGUUGUUUAGCUGCUAAUUCUUAAAUACCAUAAUUUUUUAACCUUCACUUCUGCACAUUACUCUUUAAUGCCAUAGCCUCAGAACCAUUCCUGUACUCUAAAUUGAUGUCCACACGUCUCUACACUGUUACUGACUUUAUAUUUAUUCACUUUACAUAUGUUUACAUAUUUAUCACUUGCUGUAAAUAUGCCAUAUAUUUAUCUGCACUUUUGCACGACUGCUACAUUUUGCACUUCUGGUAGAUGCCAAACUGCAUUUCGUUGCUGUGUACCUGUACUAUGCAAUGACAAUGAAGUUCUGUCUAUCUAUGUAUAUAUGGGACAUUCCACUGCACAAGACCUGCUGUCGCAUCUCAAAGAAUGUAUGGACAGACUGAACCUCAGGGACUUGGUGUCCAUUUCAGUGGAUGGGCCCAGUGUGAAUUGGAAACUCUUCGACCUUUUCCAGAAAGAUCAUGCUGAGCAGUAUGGAGGUGCUCAGCUCUUUUGUGUGGGUUCAAGUGUGGGUUCACUGCAUGGCAGCUGGACAAGUUGCUGAAAGCAAUGCACACAUUGGUCUUCAAUGUGUCCGCCAGGAGAGAGGAUUACAUCACAGUAACUAAGUCUACUGUGUUCCUCCUUUCUUCCUGUGCCCAUCGUUGGGUGGAAAACCUUCCAGUU